rnacentral:tRNA from 1 species
GGAGGGGUCGCAUAGUGGCCGAGUGCGCCCGCUUGGAGAGCGGGUAUGCCCGAAAGGGUAUCGCGGGUUCGAAUCCCGCCCCCUCCG